ensembl:lncRNA
CUCUGAUUCUCAGAGCACUUAAUACUAAUAACUGCACCUGAAGCUGGUUGUAGUUGUUGGGGAGUAGUAUCCCUAUAAACUUGAAAAGUACCCUCUUCUUGGUGAGGUUGGUGCUUGGAUCCAUGGAGCUGUUUAGAGAAGUGAGGAGAUGUUGAAGGACACUGCUGGAAAACACAGAACAAAAAGCAAGGUGAUUCUUCAUGCACUGUCUGUUUAAGGUUCAGAAUUCAUUGCCACACAAAACUUGGACAGUGUAAGUUUUUGUGGGUUCAAGAGGCAGACUGGAACUUCACACCACUUUACAGGCAUCAUUACCCUGAUAUUUAAUUUAGAGAGAGAGAGAGAGGAAAAGAACAUUUCAUGCUGGCGGGUCUGGCCAGGAACCAUCCUCCUCACUGCUUCAGCCUCUCUGUGCCAGGAGAAGGAACGCUCCGUGCCACAUCCCCAGUGGAAGCAUGAAGUGUUGCAAGGCUGCUCUGCAAACCAAGCGCACAAGGAGUGCACCACCAAACAGGGAAGAGAAAAAAGUUAGAAAAGAGAAGAAUUGACACCACAUAGGAUAAAGGAGUUGAGUAGUGAGGAAAAGAGAGGGAACAUGUGGAACUCUACUACCUCAGGUACUGCCAGUUGAAAGGUCUUUCUGUGUUCUAGGAUUUCUCUUCUGGUUCUACCCAACAGGCUGCAUCAGGGUGAGGAGAAUGAGCAUUUUACUGCAUAAAGAAAGAACUGUACAAGUUUACAGCUGUUUUGUUGAAUUCCUUAAACUGUUUUCUUUAGAAAUUUGAGGAGUUAUUGCAGGACAAGUUUAGGGAGUGAAUUUGAAGUGUAAUGUCCAGUCUGCUCUUAUGCCUGGUGUGAAUUAAGGCGGAGACAUUUCACUAUGGAUUAGGAGUGUCCUCAUGAAGAGUUAGUAUGCAAUAACUAUUCUAGGCUAUUUCCCCAGGGAGACAAGCCUAAACAUCUGAUAAAUAGGCCUAUUACUUUUUCUCUUAACCAAUUAAGUACUUAUUUUAGAAGGAUAAGAUGAAUUAUCACGUAACUAUUUCUGCAAUAUGUCUUACUUAGUACACUAAUGUCAGAAAAGGCAAACUACUGUCCACAGAUUGGAAGGAAAGGUAUUAGUAUUUUACAGGCUCAAGCUUAGAGAUGACUCCUGGUCUUAUUAUAUUUUGG